CCUACGGGAGGCAGCAGUAGGGAAUAUUGCUCAAUGGAGGAAACUCUGAAGCAGCAACGCCGCGUGGAGGAUGAAGGUUUUAGGAUUGUAAACUCCUUUUGUGAGAGAAGAUAAUGACGGUAUCUCACGAAUAAGCACCGGCUAACUCCGUGCCAGCAGCCGCGGUAAUACGGAGGGUGCAAGCGUUACUCGGAAUCACUGGGCGGAAAGAGUGCGCAGGCGGGCUUGUAAGUCAGAUGUGAAAUCCUGUAGCUUAACUACAGAACUGCAUUUGAAACUAUGAGUCUAGAGUGUGGGAGAGGUAGGUGGAAUUCUUGGUGUAGGGGUGAAAUGCAUAGAUAUCACGCAGAACUCCGAUUGCGAAGGCAGCAUACCGGCGCCCGACUGACGCUGAAGCACGAAAGCGUGGGUAUCGAACAGGAUUAGAUACCCCAGUAGUC
rnacentral:rRNA from 1 species